rnacentral:rRNA from 1 species
UACAUGGGGUGCAAACGUUGCUCGGAAUUAUUGGGCGUAAAGCGCGCGUAGGCGGUUACUUAAGUCGGAUGUGAAAGCCCUCGGCUUAACUGAGGAAGUGCACCCGAAACUGAGUAGCUAGAGUACGAAAGAGGGUCGCGGAAUUCCCGGUGUAGAGGUGAAAUUCGUAGAUAUCGGGAGGAACACCGGUGGCUAAGGCGGCGACCUGGGUCGAGACUGACGCUGAUGCGCGAAAGCGUGGGGAGCAAACAGG